UUCUGGCUCAGGAUGAACGCUAGCUACAGGCUUAACACAUGCAAGUCGAGGGGCAGCAUUGGGGUAGCAAUACUCAGAUGGCGACCGGCGCACGGGUGAGUAACACGUAUCCAACCUGCCGCUUACUCGGGGAUAGCCUUUCGAAAGAAAGAUUAAUACCCGAUGGUAUAAAGAGUUCGCAUGUUCUCUUUAUUAAAGAAUUUCGGUAAGCGAUGGGGAUGCGUUCCAUUAGAUAGUUGGCGGGGUAACGGCCCACCAAGUCUACGAUGGAUAGGGGUUCUGAGAGGAAGGUCCCCCACAUUGGAACUGAGACACGGUCCAAACUCCUACGGGAGGCAGCAGUGAGGAAUAUUGGUCAAUGGACGAGAGUCUGAACCAGCCAAAGUAGCGUGAAGGAUGACUGCCCUAUGGGUUGUAAACUUCUUUUAUAAGGGAAUAAAGUGAGGGACGUGUCCCUUUUUGUAUGUACCUUAUGAAUAAGGAUCGGCUAACUCCGUGCCAGCCGCCGC
rnacentral:rRNA from 1 species